CACCGCGGUUAAACGAUAGGCCCCAGUUGAUAAUAUCACGGCGUAAAGGGUGGUUAAGGAAUAUAGAAUAAUAAAGCCAAAUGGCCCCCUGGCCGUCAUACGCUUCUAGGUGUCCGAAGCCCAAUCCCACGAAAGUAGCUUUAAUAUAACCGACCUGACCCCACGAAAGCUGAGGAA
rnacentral:rRNA from 1 species